GUGCUCGCUUCGGCAGCACAUAUACAUAUAUAAAAUUGGAAUGAUACAGAGAAGAUUAGCAUGGCCCCUGGGCAAGAAACCUAUUGUGCUUUUCUAAUCAUAAGAAUAAAAU